UUUCAGAGUGCUUUGUGAGUUUUGACCUGUACCUGACCUCACAGGUCUGGGCAGAAUAGACCUGUGCAGAAUGGACCAAAGUUCCGUUCUGCCCCAGGAUAAAAACAUUCCAUGUGGACUAACAGUUGAAGAAGUUAUAGUAAAACUGGAGAGGUAUGAAGUGAGUGAAGAUAAAGCUGAUGACUCAGAAAUGGUGAUGCGGAACUUAUGCCAUUGUUCACAGAUGGGAUAUUGGAAGAAUACUGGACAAGGUAAUAGGAACAUAUCAGUAUCCACCAUCAGACACAAAUAGUGGGUGAAGAUUGGAGAAUAUCAAGGAUGACAGCGUGAUCACAAUCACUAGAGUAGGAAGCACAAAUGAAACUGGACGCAUGAUGCAUUCUACAUUGAGGGGGGUGGAGAAUACAUUACAUUACACCCGUCAGAUGUGUGUCUCCCUUCGCCCUGCAUUCUUGCUGCUUCUGUUAUCUGCUGGCAUUUGGUAGCACUGGAUUGUACUGCACAUGGACACUUUGUUUCUCAAUCUGGCUUGUCUAUGAUAAAUUACGAGGGCAGCUGAAAAGUAAU